rnacentral:misc_RNA from 1 species
UCACUAUAUAAAGAGUUCACGGGCAUAGAAAUUGUCACAGAAAUAUCUUUCCAUAGCAGAGAAAUCCACCAUGCACCACAGAAUGGCCACACAGAAAUCUCCUACCAUUUCCCUCAUCUUCUUCUUCAGCAUCAUAAUCCUCCAUGCCCAAAUCCAAGCAAGCCCAAUCAAAACCAUAGUCGUUCUUGUGAUGGAAAAUCGUUCUUUUGAUCACAUGCUGGGUUGGAUGAAGAAGAUUAACCCAGAAAUCAAUGGUGUUGAUGGAAAUGAGUGGAACCCAUUGAACACAGGCGAUCCAAAUUCAGAGAAAUUGUUUUU